AGUUGUCUAUCUGGUCCCCUAACAGGUGCCACAAAGACCAUGGUUGAAGAACGCAUCGGUUCAGAAACGUGCAGAAGAUAUAAAUGUGGACACUGCCCUGGUCACUGCCGCAGUUGUAGCGGAAUACUCUUCUUCGUUAAAAGAGAUGAUUAUUGUGUCUAAGGAUUAUUCAUACCGCCAUUCUAGCACCAAAAUAAAUUUCAUUAUUAACCCAA